AGAUCUGACUAACAAACACAGUUUGCUUGUGAACUUGUGUGCAUGCAUCUGGGGGAACAUAACUGCGUGUCUACCAGAGCAUCGCAAACAAACCCUGUAAGGGUCUGCAGGGGCUGCCGGCUCACUCAUUCCCAUGACCCGGUGAAUUUUACGCACCAGAGCAAGCAAAGCAGCAGGUUACAGACUGCUGCCGCCGGAGCGGUGAAACGCGUGUGCUGAAGUGCGAAGGACCUGGCGCUGCUCAGGAAAGCACUGAACUGUGCCCCCCUUGGAUGCCUGCACCAUGCCUCCUUUUUGUACUUCUCUAUGUUGGGUAAAACAGUAGCACUGUUCCUGCAAUUAGUAGAAACAGAUCAACUGUCAGAGAAGAAGCAAAGUCACAUAUCUGAAAAGAAGCUUUGUCUCUGCCAAAAUACACCAAGAAGAAAGCACUCCCUCAUGGGAUCCAAAGAAGGGUACACAGCCUCAUCGGAAGAGCUCCCCCAAAAUACAGCAAGUUUGGGAAUAAAGCCUUGAAAUGAGAGCAGUAUUAAGAAGACAAAAAUUAUAUAAAGACAAUUUUUUUAUGUAGAUGUCGGUUGCUGAACAAAAGCCAUUUAAUGAGCUCUAUCAAAUAGAAGGGCAAAUUAUGUGGUUGAUGAUGCAUUAUCAUUUUGCACCUGUCUGAAGGACGGCAUAGCUGUAGAGCAGCUGAACUUCAGCAGCCCUCUGGGACACGACAGCGGGUGGCAGCUGUCCCCAGCACACGAGAAGCAAAAAAACAAGGCUUCGAGAGAGUAAAUGACUCUUCCGGGGACAUGAAACAAAUUCACCUCCAGCAUCACCCCUGUGCCAGCAGCAGACCGCGCUGCGCUGUCGCUGCAAUUUCUUGCUCUGCCCCUUCAAAGCACACCCGAGAAAGCUCCUUCCCCCGGGAGUCGGAAGGAAACCGGGCAGCAUAAAGAAGAGUUAAUUGCUUUAACACACACCCAAACUAUUGCAAGGCGAGAAUCAAACGAAAAGAAAAAAAGAAAAGACCUUGCUAGGAGGAGAUGCGCAGCGGAAGCCAGCAACAAGUGGGAGGCUGCAGCAGCGGCUGCCCCGCGGUGCGCUGCCGGCCGGCCGCCCUCCUGCGCUGGCACCCCUGUAACACGAAACUUGGCAUCGCCCCGACAGCAGCACCAAAAAAAUAGGCAGAGACAACAGCUGGCUGUCAGCAGCAGAGCAGAGAGGAGCCGAGCGAGGAGCGAGACACGAGCCAGGAUGAGGGGAGAGAUGACGUGAAAGUUGAAGAAGAGAGGAGGAAAAACAAGAGGAGAAGAAGAGCUCGUGGCACGGCUGGGAGCCAAGAGCAGAAAACACAAAUCACAACACCUCUGCCUGCACCGCCAUCUCUUGGAAUGGAAACAGCACUGGAAACCUGCUGACAGAAUCUCACAGCACUGUGCAAAGGAAAAGGAGCCAUUUCUGGAGCAGCUCAUUUGGGCGUAAAGCCUGGAGAGGUUGAGCCAGAAUGUCUUCUGAAGGCUUUCUGAAGGAAAUGCAAACCAUUGGUGAGAAGUUUCUCCUUAAGCUUCAGAAACUGCCCAAGGCUGACCCUGUGGAGAUCGUGUCCUUCUGUGUGGUUCUUCUGUUUAUCGUUACUGUUCUGCUGCUCAUGAUCAUUGCUUGCAGCUGCUGCUGCUACAGCUGCUGUAGCUGCGAUGGACGUCCUGACCACAGACGUAGGAAGAUCCAAGUCCGCCCUACUGCCCAUCCAUGAAGCGCAUCAAGAGGUGACAACCUACUAUCAAGGACAUGCGUGGCCAUCAUGAUUCAGUCCCACGGGAAUGACUCUCUGCUCUAGCUCACUGAGAAUGGCAAUAACAAUAUUAACGAGUAUGACUCAGAGGACCAGAAAUCACGGCAUGGAAUUCAUUCUUUCUGUGACAGCCACUGCUGGGCUCCAUGGUGUGACCAGAAAGCAGGGCAGAAGCCAGCAUGUCAUCUGCACAAGAGACAUCCUCAGUUCUGGAAGACCUAAAAAGACUGAUUGUAACAAGUGACUGGGCUCUUGGAGGGCUAGUGGUGAUUAGCACCUUCUGUCUUGUUUUUAUUGCUCUCCUCCUAUUUGCUGCCAUCUUUGGGUGCUGCUCAUCUCCAAGGCACAAGCGGAGGGGUACAUAAACAGUGAAGCUGUGACACAGUAUGGGGAGAUCCACAGUUAAGCAAGAAUCAGCCCAGCUGCAAUCUAAUUGUGUUGUUCGUUGAAGCUUUUUCAUCUUCUGUCCCUGGGUGGUUAUUUCUCCCCAUCCAGCUUUCCCGCAUCGAGAGCAAUAUAUGAAUGCCAGCAAGUUGUUCUGCCAGUCCACAGCAAACUCUGUACGUAAGGCAAUCUGUGUUCAGGAACUGAAUGAUGAUGCUGGUAUUUGGCUAGUCGUGUCUCUGCCUGACUUUCAUCUUUCAAACAAAACCACAGACAGGACAGAGUUGGCAAAUGGUCAACCACCACCUAAAACUGAUAAAGAUGUCUUGUACCACUGCAGUUACUUUUUUUGUUUGGCUGGUUUUGGUUUUCUCCAUCUUGCAAAUGGACAUCAGGAAACUCUGACCAGCAAAAGCUUUGUCUGAAUCCAUUCUCUAAAAAGCAGCUUAUGUAAUUGUUCUCCUGUCAUGCUCAGACAGUAGCCUAAAUAUACUAUGCAAAAACUUGCUUAUCAGAAUACAAGUCUGUCUGUAUUUGUUCUCAUUUAGAACCUUGUAAGGUCAGAAAUUCAGGUUUAUCUUUACUGGUUGAAUAGUGAAUAGAACUGUAUUAAUUCAAAAUGUAAAAAAGAAAUGCAAUGUGGUAUUCUUCUGAAGAGCACCUUAGUCUCCUGCACAGUUACAAGCAGGGAAGCCAGUCAAUGGCGCUGCAAUGUGCGACCUUGGGUUGCAUAUCUUAUGUGUGUAUGUACUAAGCUGGGGAAGGAAAGAAAAAAGAAGGGAAGGGAGAUGUGAUUUCUAAUUAGGUCAGUGAGCUUCCCUUACAAAUCUCUUAUGUAGCCAGUGAAGUUCUAUUUCUAUUGCUAUUCACCUAAGCAAAGGAGAAUGUUUUCUCUCGAUUGCUUGGGUAUUGCCUUACUACUGCAGCAGAACUCUUAAGAGAAGUUCCUCACAUAAAUAGCAGUCAAGUUCUUUACAGCAUACAUGAAGUGGGCGAUGCUGUAAUAUGGUGACAUGGAUCACACAUCACGCCCUGACUAGAAGACCACCCUGGAAUGUUCUGCAAUUGCUUUUGGCUUGUGCAAGGUUAGUUCAGUGAGCCCUGUACAGUUGUCAUGGCAUUGAUGGCCAUUCCAAGAAACCACUGUCACAACUAGUUCUACUACCAACUGUAGGAGAAUCAAGGAGAAACACAGACUGAGACAAGGUCUCCUGAGGUUAGCCUCUGACCAAAUAAGAUACAGCUGCUUUCGCAUGAUAUAAAAUCUGGACACAAGCAGCCAUCUGACUUAAAGCAAGAAGCUACUUCCCAGAAUCAUCCUAGCUCUGGGCAGAGAAGUGCUCCUUCACGUGCCCUGGGACCACUCAGCAUUGUGCCGUACUUCAGUACACACAGAGAUCUUCCAAGGCAAAUCCAUAAAAACACAGUUUGUUUACCAAACAUUACCACAAGGAGAAAAUAUGCUCACCGAAGUAUCAGAAAAGAAGCAUGCCAGUCACCCUGAAAAACUUGUCCUAGGCACAGGUGUGAAGAAUGAAACAAAAUACAACUUGAAAGCAAUACACAUGUUGACUACUUUUGGUUAGUGAAUACAUACUGCUCUCUUACUGGCAAAAUUACAACUUUGAUGUUUUAUCCAGCAUAGUAAUUAGCACAAUUACAGCUUACAAGUCAUGAACUAGACCUGAACGACGUAUAUUGUGGUUGCUAGUCUGCAUUUAGAUUGGGCACAUCCAUAAUUUGGGCUUUUUUUCUGAAAGGUUCCAAGCACAUAAGAUCCUUCUAAGGCCAAUGAGAAUCAAGGAUGCCUACUUCUUUGCAGACUGGAGCCCCUGAGAUUUAGAGAAACAUUAAAGCUAAAUAGUUCCAUCCUGUGAUGAUUAGGCUGCCCAGAGAGAUGGCCGGUGAAGGAGGAAAGAGUCAAAACAAAAGCAACUGAAACUAAGUCAGCUCUCCACAGAUAAAACAUUAAAAUUCAUAGCGAGAGGAAUCACAGUUCAACAUCAACCAACAUCUCAGUUAACUCAGAAGUGAAAGUGAGUGACAGGUGUCUUCUCAGGGACACCUUCCUCAGUCCAGACAGCAAAAUAUCAGGUGAUUCAUUCAGUAUUUUCUUUUUCCGUUACAUGCAUUUGCGGAAAGAUCUCAGCUAUGUAACUGUACCUCAGAAGGGGUAGGAUAUGGUUUUCCCAACAUUAAACA